rnacentral:rRNA from 1 species
UACGGAGGGUGCAAGCGUUAAUCGGAAUUACUGGGCGUAAAGCGCACGCAGGUGGCUGAGAAAGUCGAUUGUGAAAGCCCUGGGCUUAACCUGGGAAUUGCAGUCGAAACUACUCGGCUAGAGUAUGGGAGAGGACAGUGGAAUUCCCGGUGUAGCGGUGAAAUUCGUAGAUAUCGAGAGGAACAUCGGUGGCGAAGGCGGCCUUCUGGACAGUGACUGACGCUGAGACGCGAAAGCGUGGGGAGCAAACAGG